GACAGAGGUGCCGAGCGUUAGGCGGAAUCACUGGGCUUAAAGCGUGUGUAGGCGGAUUUGUAAGUACCUUGUGAAAUCCCACGGCCCAACCGUGGAACUGCUUGGUAUACUGCUUAUCUUGGGCCACUUAGGGGUUACCGGAACAAACGGUGGAGCGGUGAAAUGCGUAGAUAUCGUUUGGAACGCCAAUGGUGAAAACAGGUAACUGGGAGUGUGCCGACGCUGAGACACGAAAGCCAGGGGAGCGAACGGG
rnacentral:rRNA from 1 species